rnacentral:tRNA from 1 species
AGUUAUAAACUUAUAUUAAGAUUAUGUUUUGAAAUCAUACUAAAGGGUUUAAAUCCCUUGUUAACUU